AAGAGUCGAACCUGCCCGGUGAAUUUUUUAACGGCCGCGGUACUCUGACCGUGCGAAGGUAGCAUAAUCAUUUGCCUUUCAAUUGGAGGCUAGUAUGAAAGGUUUGACGGAAGCUAAGCUGUCUUUUAUUAAGUAAAAUAAAAUUGACUUUUAAGUGCAAAGGCUUAUAUGUAACUAAAAGACAAGAAGACCCUAUUGAGCUUUAAAAUUUAAAAAGACUAAAAUAUAUUACAAUAAGAUUUUAAUUCUUUUAUUUUUUUUAGUUGGGGCGACUUUGGAACAAUAAUAACUUCCUAAAAAUUAAGAGUACUUUUAAGUUUUGAUCCAAGAAAUCUUGAUUAAUAGAAUUAGUUACCAUAGGGAUAACAGCAUAAUUCUUCUUGAGAGUUCUAAUCGAAAGAAGAGAUUGUGACCUCGAUGUUGGACUAGAAUAUCCUAAAGGUGCAGAAGUUUUUGAAGGUUGGUCUGUUCG
rnacentral:rRNA from 1 species